UACGAAGGGGGCUAGCGUUGUUCGGAAUCACUGGGCGUAAAGCGCACGUAGGCGGAUUUGUAAGUCAGGGGUGAAAUCCCGGGGCUCAACCUCGGAACUGCCUUUGAUACUGCAAGUCUCGAGUCCGGAAGAGGUGAGUGGAACUCCUAGUGUAGAGGUGAAAUUCGUAGAUAUUAGGAAGAACACCAGUGGCGAAGGCGGCUCACUGGUCCGGAUCUGACGCUGAGGUGCGAAAGCGUGGGGAGCAAACAGG
rnacentral:rRNA from 1 species